ACAACAUGCUUCUGAUGCUAUCGCAGCUAUCCAUUAAAUCUAUUUGAACUUUUAUACAACAGGAACAAAACACAUUGUAAUGUCUUUAUAGCUCUGUAAUUUACGUAGAUAAAUUACAAGUGCACAUGCAGAAAUAACACCAGAAAUAUUAAAAGAAUAUUGAAGUAAAAAUUAUCAAAUAACUGGGUGAAUAUGUGUUUAUAACAAUGAUGGACGUAUGGAGAAGGUAUCCGAGAAAGGAAUUUUUAAUAAUUUAAAACACAUAGUACAAAUUGAUGCACAGAAGAUUAAAAAAUGAACACAACAGUCAGGAGCAUGUUGUGAUCUGACUCUUGUUUUUUGACUAUUUUACAAUAUUCCAUGAAAAUUUAUGGCAUUAAUUUGUCUCAAAACGCACUUACCAUGCUACAUGUAUGAUAUAGAAUACCAUUUUAAAUAAUUAAAUUAGUUCUAAAAUCUCACUUGUCAUUAGAGGCUCUCAUCGAGGGUACUUGCACGCAGGGUAGCCUCAUGUAGAAGGGCUCGAGAAUUGUGAUUCGGGCCUGGCCCGAUCACAUAUCGUUCGCGUAUAGCUGUCUAUAUAUUGUAGCAAUCCUCAUUGAACGAAGUAUACAUAGAUACAAAAACAAUACUUCUACAACAAUACUUCUUGUUCCAACCGCUGAUAUAAGAUAUUCUAUAAAAUAAAGUUUCUAUGGCAUCAAUCUAUAAUAGCCUACAAAGCUUCAUAUAAGCCAACUUAACUGCUGUCGCAGUAGGCCAUUAGUAAUAUUAAAUAUUUGUUUGAGUUCAUGGCAUUCAUUAGAUUCAUAGUGAAAUAUAUACAUAUAUAGUCUUCUCUGUCCUAAAUGGUGCUUCAAGUAAGUAAUAUAUGUUUCCUAUUUCAAAUGAUUUGCUUAGUAAGUUAGCUAUUACUGUCCACAAAAUUUUGACUGGGACAAUUUUUGAUUAACCAUUUGGCUCCAAUAGUUUUCAUUGACCUUUGUCAAGUCAAAUAUUUACAUAACCUGUUCAUAUACAUUGAAGAUUGAGCAAUCGCGUAGCCCUUAUAUACCUUUCCAGUUAUUAGGAAUUAUAACAUUAUAUUGACUUACUACAUGAAUUAGUCUCUUCAUGUAAAACAGGGUGUUGAACCUAUUUGAGAAAUUACUAUGAGUAGUAACUAAUUUAUUCUACAGAAUGGAUAAAUAACACAGAGGAACUUCCUGCGUUUUGCCUCAAUAAAUUAGAAAACUUUACUUCCAUAAACAGCCCUAAGUUUCCUUCCACAGGGCAUCAAAAUGUUUUAUCCUAAAAGUAAGUCAUCGCCACCUUGUUAUUACACAUUGCCCAAACAUUAUGUGUCUGAAUAUUGCAACUUUAACUUUACUUUAAGUGGUAAUUAUAGACUCACUACCAUAAAUCUCCAUUUGAAACCAUUGCUGUACAACUAACGUUUUGUUUGGGAUUGUGGCGACUAAUAAUAAGAUAGGUAUUUGAGUAAAGUCACAAUCAGGAAACAAUCACACAACAUCUAUACACUGCUGAACCAUAGUAAGUGGUUCAUACUUCCAGUGCCACCACAAUCUGAGCUACAUAUUAAUUAGAAUGUAUGACAAGAAAUAACACUGAAUCAAUUUAAAAAAUUAUCAAUAAAUGUGUUAUUUAAACAUUUGAAACAUAUCCUUUGGUUGUGAUAAAUAAUAUAUAUAGAAUCAGUUUUAUAUCGUGAUAUACUUUCGAUCAAUCUUGUGCAAUAGUCUUUAAAAUUAAUUUACACUGCUUUUGAUCUUGAGUGUAUAGUUCUUCCAAAGGAGUUGCUGGGGCAUUUAUAAGCAAUAUUUUUAGUAAUGUCUAUAGAUUUUUAGGUCAAGCUAAUUUCAAGCUGUGUAGGCAAACUAAUCUCAAAUAGAAAAUUUUUGAGCAUCCAGCCAACUUUUCACACUUUUUGCUGUAUGCUUGGAAUACUGGUUGUGUUGGAAAACAAUUUCUUCUUCUCAACACAACAUACCUAGCAUGUAUUAUGGCAAAUAUUCUUCAAAAAUAUUUUUGUACAUACACUAGUUCAUAAUUUAAUUGACUUUGUUUAAUGGGCUCACACCAUUUGUCAUAAAACACACCUAUAACAUCAGGGUUAAAUUUCAAUAUUUGCUUAACUAUUUGCUUCAAUAUUUAUUAUUUUAAUAUUUGUGUGCUUCAAUAUUUGUUUCAAUAUUUGCUUAACAUGAGAUAGUCUAAGAGUUUGCCCUCUUUGUAUCCAAGCCCAAUAACAUCUGUUAGAUGACAUGAUUCCAAUUAUAAAUGGACAUUUUUCAUUCUUCCAUGUAGAAGUUAAUCAAGCUUUAAUAAUGAUCAUUAAUAACGUACUACAUUUCUUAAGAGCUUAUCACAUUUUUCACCAGUAAAUUUGCAUCUCUUUUAAAUAAUUCUACAGUAAUACUCACCAAUAUUGUAAUAUAAUGAAUAAUAUACUAUUUGUCUUACUUUCCCCAUAUGAGACAUGAACAACAAACUGUACUUGAAGAGAGAAACGAUUCUUUUUAUUGUGUUAGAUGAAAUUGACUUCAUUACACUUCAUUUUUCAGUCAAUAAGAUCACAGUGCAAUUAAUAGUAGUAGAGCCCUUGUUGAUGUAAGAAGUUGAUGAUCAAGUUCAAUAUAUACUCACGUACCCAAGUCAAUUUCAAUAACUAAGUUUCAUUUCAAGGGUUUCAAUUACUACCCCAAAAAAAAUCUCAAUGAUUAUAUUUGAACUGUAUUAAUUUUGUACAAGUAGAUAUCGAACCCUGGAGUUAGUACUUCCAGAUUUUGAAAGGGUACUUAGAAGUACUUUGAUGUUGCAGAGAUUCGAACCUUUUAUAAGAGCACUAAAGUACUUAUAGAGAAUUCGAACCUAUCUCGUAGAAGUUCGAGUAUAUUUGAAAGUACUGUCUUCUUUUGUCGAAGUACUUAUAUUGGAUUCGAACCUUUCUCAUAUAGGUUCAAGUAUACUUGCAAUACACUUGAUCCCAUUCUUAAAUAUACAGUUAAUAUAAUUUGUUCUAUAACCAGUUCAACAUAGUGAAAAACUAUUUUUUGAUAUUAUGCUUAACUUACUACAAUUGAAAAAAUAUAGAUUCUAAAUACUGAACAAUUGUUUGCAGUUCCUAAAACUAUAAGCAAUGAAUUAGUUGGUUUUCAUUCAGUUUUUACCUUAUGUUUCGUUCAACAAUAAAUAACAGAUUCAUUAAAAGUGUUUAGAAAUAAUUUAGUUUUAUUCCUUACUAUAUCUCCUCCACUUUCCUGGUUUACCAUGCUGCCCAAUUCUGCAAUAUAAACGCGAAACACGAAUUUUUGCCCCCUUUCACUGUGUGAGCCAUCCUGGUUGGUCAAAAAAACUAUUAGCACAAUAUUCGUAAUUGCACGUAUAGUAUUCUGUGCCAUCACCAAUGUAAUAACUAGCUACUAUGCGUCUACUAUUAUUUAAUAAACAUACUAAUAUUUUGUAAGUAAAAAUCAUCCUUAUCUACCACUGGUCUAUCCUUCUCAU